UUCACCUUGAGUCUUGUUAAAAUGCAGAUUCUGAUUUAGUGGGCCUGAGAUUCUGCAUCUCUAACAAGCUCUCAAAUGAUGUGGA
rfam:Pteropus alecto contig43002, whole genome shotgun sequence.